AGCAGUGCCAGACGCUGGCUGUGCGCUCCUACCGCCUUCAUGAGGGCUUCUCCCCAUCACCUACCAGCACGACUUGGCUCUGCUGCGCCUGAAGGAAACCGAAAACAACAGCUGCGCGAUCUUGUCGUCCUACAUCCAGCCCGUGUGCUUGCCCAUCAGCGCGGCCCCACCCUCGGAGACAGUGCUCUGCGAGGUGGCCGGCUGGGGUCACCAGUUCGAGGGGGCGGAGGAAUACGCCGAUUUCCUGCAGGAGGCGCAGGUACCCUUCAUCUCCCAGGAGCGCUGCUCCAACUCUGACGUGCAUGGGGACGCCAUCCUGCCCGGAAUGCUUUGUGCUGGCUUCCUGGAGGGAGGCACAGACGCCUGCCAGGGUGACUCCGGGGGUCCUCUGGUAUGUGGAGAAGGGGCUGCAGAGCAACGGCUCACCCUGAGAGGUGUCGUCAGCUGGGGCUCCGGCUGUGGUGACCGCAACAAGCCCGGAGUCUACACAGACGUAGCCUACUACCUGGCUUGGAUCAAGGAGCAUACAGAUUCCUAACUAACCAGGACAGGGUUUUUCUGUGUAGCCCUAGCCGUCCUGGAACUUGCUUUGUAGACCACCCUGGCU